GCGGGGGUCGCCAAGCCCGGUCAACGGCGCAGGGCUUAGAAUGGGUAUGCAUUAGCCCCUACAACCCUGUUCCUUAGGGAUUCGUGGGUUCAAAUCCCACCCCCCGCA
rnacentral:tRNA from 1 species